rnacentral:rRNA from 1 species
UCGGUUCGGUCGAGGCGUGGUGAGGGGUGGGGUGCGAGGUGCUGCGCGCGCUCGCUCGGUACCGGCGGGAGGCGGAGCGGAGGAGGCAGUGGGAGACGGGCCGCCGGCGCCGGCGCAGCGGGAGCAGGCGGCGGCGGCGCGGGGCGCGGCGGAGGAAGCGGACGCGCCAGCGCGCGCCCGAGGGGAGGGAGGCGGAGCGGCGCGGGGCGGCGGCGGCGCCGCUGGAGCCGGCCGGGUCGCGGCGGCCGCGGCUCCGGCGCCGGCUCUUGAUGCGCUGGCGCGAGUGCCUCCACCGGCGGCUCUCGCUGAGGGAGCUGCGCUGGCACCGCCUGUACCUCUUCGACCUCUUCUAGAAGCGCCUCCUCCGGUAGCGGCUCAAGAAGCUGUUGGGGUGGCACGGCGCGCUCCUCUUCUGCCGCGAGUAACUGCUCUAGCGGUUCAGCAGCCUCGACGUCGGCGUGUGGCAGUUGAAGGAGUUGCACCAGUAGCUGUUGUGGGCGCGGUCGGACUACGGCGUCUAGCACGCGCUCAAGCUCUGGCGGAUGUUGCGCGAGUGGCCGUGGCUCCUCCGGCAGCAGUGGAGGCACCACGUCGAGCUCAGCGUCCUGGAGCGCGUCUAGCGGUGCGUGCACGUCUUGUAGUGGCCGCGGCGGUUGCAGGCCUAGUUCUGGGCGGAACUGGGCCUCGAGUAGCGGCCUAAGUGGCACGUCAUGCCGGCGCUGUCGAGGUUGAAGUAGCUGUACUCGCAGGCGUUCGUCUAGCGCCUCUAGUGGAGGCUCAAGCUCUACGGGAGGCAGUUGGAGCUUCAGACUACGAAUCAUUAACUACGCUGUUCCUAAACGUUGUGGGUCAUUCCCGCAACUAGAAGAAGUCUGGACCUCUACGCUGCCUCCCUAAUUCCGUAAGAAAAGACGUUUUAUAUCAUUACUGUAUUUAGUAAAAAAGCCGUCCUCGGUCGGUGACAUUAAAAGAAAAAACGGAAACACGACAACUCUAGAACAUUUUAUUAUACGAGGUUUUAUGAGUUGAUAUCGUCUCAACGAGGAGGUAGAAGUCCGCUGUUUCAAUUGUCGCACAUUACAUAUCGAUACAUAGGCUGGCUAGUUCAACACACGUCUGCACAUAUCGUACACCGUAACGAUAGUUGACCGUUGGUUCUAGUACAACGUAAGACUUAAAGGUGAAGCAGCACAGGUAGGUACUGAAUUUCGAGCUUUUCCGCAGUCCACACUAAACAAGUCGACAAGAUGAAGCCAACGAGGAUGUUUAUGCGUCAAGACACAGAAACAGUGAUACGACACAUCAACAAGACCUUAGGGUAGGGGUUAGGCAUAACACAGAAGGACGUAACGAAUCGGUACCGGUAUGGGAAGUUUCCUCCAGACAUUUAACAUUAGCAC